rnacentral:rRNA from 1 species
UGGCGGCCUUAGCGCGGUGGUCCCACCUGACCCCAUGCCGAACUCAGAAGUGAAACGCCGUAGCGCCGAUGAUAGUGUGGGGUCUCCCCAUGCGAGAGUAGGGAACUGCCAGGCA